CUACGGGCGGCUCCAGUGGGGAAUAUUGGACAAUGGGGGCAACCCUGAUCCAGCAAUGCCGCGUGUGUGAAGAAGGCCUGCGGGUUGUAAAGCACUUUCAAUAGGGAGGAAAAGCUUUGGGUUAAUACCCCGAAGUCUUGACGUUACCUUUAGAAGAAGCACCGGCUAACUCUGUGCCAGCAGCCGCGGUAAUACAGAGGGUGCGAGCGUUAAUCGGAAUUACUGGGCGUAAAGCGCGCGUAGGCGGUUUGAUAAGUCAGAUGUGAAAGCCCCGGGCUUAACCUGGGAACUGCAUUUGAUACUGUCAAACUAGAGUAUGGUAGAGGGUAGUAGAAUUCCUGGUGUAGCGGUGAAAUGCGUAGAUAUCAGGAGGAAUACCAGUGGCGAAGGCGGCUACCUGGACCAAUACUGACGCUGAGGUGCGAAAGCGUGGGGAGCAAACAGGAUUAGAUACCCGGGUAGUC
rnacentral:rRNA from 1 species